rnacentral:rRNA from 1 species
GACGAACGCUGGCGGCACGCUUAACACAUGCAAGUCGAACGGAGAACAUUGAGCUUGCUUAAUGUUCUUAGUGGCGGACGGGUGAGUAACACGUGAGUAACCUGCCUCUGAGAGUGGGAUAGCUUCUGGAAACGGAUGGUAAUACCGCAUAACAUCAUGGAUUCGCAUGUUUCUAUGAUCAAAGAUUUAUCGCUUAGAGAUGGACUCGCGUCUGAUUAGCUAGUUGGUAAGGUAACGGCUUACCAAGGCGACGAUCAGUAGCCGGACUGAGAGGUUGAUUGGCCACAUUGGGACUGAGACACGGCCCAGACUCCUACGGGAGGCAGCAGUGGGGAAUAUUGCACAAUGGGGGAAACCCUGAUGCAGCGAUGCCGCGUGGAGGAAGAAGGUUUUCGGAUUGUAAACUCCUGUUGAAGAGGACGAUAAUGACGGUACUCUUUUAGAAAGCUCCGGCUAACUACGUGCCAGCAGCCGCGGUAAUACGUAGGGAGCGAGCGUUGUCCGGAAUUACUGGGUGUAAAGGGAGCGUAGGCGGGAUGGCAAGUCAGAUGUGAAAACUAUGGGCUCAACCCAUAGACUGCAUUUGAAACUGUUGUUCUUGAGUGAGGUAGAGGUAAGCGGAAUUCCUGGUGUAGCGGUGAAAUGCGUAGAGAUCAGGAGGAACAUCGGUGGCGAAGGCGGCUUACUGGGCCUUUACUGACGCUGAGGCUCGAAAGCGUGGGGAGCAAACAGGAUUAGAUACCCUGGUAGUCCACGCCGUAAACGAUGAUUACUAGGUGUGGGGGGACUGACCCCUUCCGUGCCGCAGUUAACACAAUAAGUAAUCCACCUGGGGAGUACGGCCGCAAGGUUGAAACUCAAAGGAAUUGACGGGGGCCCGCACAAGCAGUGGAGUAUGUGGUUUAAUUCGAAGCAACGCGAAGAACCUUACCAGGUCUUGACAUCCUACUAACGAGAUAGAGAUAUGUUAGGUGCCCUUCGGGGAAAGUAGAGACAGGUGGUGCAUGGUUGUCGUCAGCUCGUGUCGUGAGAUGUUGGGUUAAGUCCCGCAACGAGCGCAACCCUCGCCCUGUGUUGCCAGCACGUCAUGGUGGGAACUCACGGGGGACCGCCGGGGUCAACUCGGAGGAAGGUGGGGAUGACGUCAGAUCAUCAUGCCCCUUACGUCCAGGGCUUCACGCAUGCUACAAUGGCCGGUACAACGGGAUGCGACACGGCGACGUGGAGCGGAUCCCUGAAAACCGGUCUCAGUUCGGAUUGGAGUCUGCAACCCGACUCCAUGAAGGCGGAGUCGCUAGUAAUCGCGGAUCAGCAACGCCGCGGUGAAUGCGUUCCCGGGCCU